UGGCGCAACCGGUUAGCGCGUUUGGCUGUUAACCGAAAGGUUGGUGGUUCGAGCCCACC
rnacentral:tRNA from 1 species